CCGCCAUAUCACUUUGAAAACUCCGGUUCUCGUACGAUCAACGAAGUUAAACAACAUCCAGCCUGAUCAGUAUCUAGAUGGGUGACUGCUUGGGAAUGCCAGGU